rnacentral:misc_RNA from 1 species
AAAAAUAUCCACAACCCCUGAAGGCAAUGUGUGGUUUCGAUACACAGCACCUGGAAAACCAGGGUUCUGUAUGUCUGUCAGGUAAGAGGGAUCUAAUAACCACAGGCAAAGUAGGUCUACAGACAUUUACCUGGGACUAUGGAUGCCAACACUCUCCUAGGUUUCAACAAUACAGGAAAUGUUUGUGUGUGGCCCGCAGAGGAGGUCAUGACUAAUUACUGCUUCCAGCACUUAGAGAACUUCAGUGACCUUGCGGUGUGUGAGUUGGGUGGAGGAAUGACCUGUCUUGCAGGUCUUGCUUUGGCCCUUGAGUCCAAGGCAGCCCAUGUUGUGUUAAGUGAUGGGAAUGAAGACUCUGUGGAAAAUCUGAAUGUAAUUCUUGAGCAAAAAGACAACCAAUCAAAAUUUGGAAAAACUAAAGUUUCAUCAAGACUUAUUCGCUGGGGUAAGGAUGAGACUCACCAAGACUUGCAUGGAAGCUUCAAUGUCGUCUUGUGUGCCGACUGUUUGUUCUUUGAUGAUGGUAGAGCUGACUUAGCAGAUUUGAUAUUUGACAUUCUGAAACCCAAAGGUAGAGCCAUUUUGUUUGCUCCACACCGAGGGAGUACAUUCCAAGCCUUCUCAGAAUUAGCUAAAGAAAAAUUCCAUGUAGAAGUACAAGAUAAUUACAGCCAGGAGGUGUGGGGACUCCACUGUAAGAUGAAGUCCACUGGCAGUGAUAUGUAUGAUGAAAACAUUCAUUACCCUCGCCUAAUAAUACUCACCAAGGCAGGCUGACGAUCCGUGGUCAUCACUGUGAACAACGCCAAUCUGUGAUACAAUGUAUUCCAAAUACUCGCUGCAUAUCCAAACCAGUGCAACGUGGAUUAUUCCUCAUUUUAUCAUUGAAAUAAAAUAUGUUUUGU